rnacentral:rRNA from 1 species
GAUGAACGCUGGCGGCAUGCCUAACACAUGCAAGUCGAGCGGUAAGGCGCUUCGGAGUACACGAGAGGCGGACGGCCGAGUAACGCGUAGGAACACACCCUGCCGAGCGGGAUAAGACACCGAACGGUGUGCUAAUACCGCAUACGGUCUUCGGAUUAAAGCAUUUAUGCGCUGAAGGAGUGGCCUGCGUCAUAUUAGAUAGUUGGUGAGGUAAUGGCUCACCAAGUCGAUGAUGUGUAGCUGGUCUGAGAGGAUGAUCAGCCAGACUGGAACUGAGACACGGUCCAGACUCCUACGGGAGGCAGCAGUGCGGAAUAUUUCACAAUGAGCGAAAGCUUGAUGGAGCAAUGCCGCGUGCAGGAUGAAGGCCCUCGGGUUGUAAACUGCUUUUAUAAGAGAAGAUUAUGACGGUAACUUAUGAAUAAGGGACGGCUAACUACGUG